rnacentral:rRNA from 1 species
UUGACCUCGGAUCAGGUAGGAAUACCCGCUGAACUUAAGCAUAUCAAUAAGCGGAGGAAAAGAAACCAACAGGGAUUGCCCUAGUAACGGCGAGUGAAGCGGCAACAGCUCAAAUUUGAAAUCUGGCUCUCGGGCCCGAGUUGUAAUUUGUAGAGGAUGCUUUUGAUGCGGUGCCUUCCGAGUUCCCUGGAACGGGACGCCAUAGAGGGUGAGAGCCCCGUCUGGUUGGAUGCCAAAUCUCUGUAAAGCUCCUUCGACGAGUCGAGUAGUUUGGGAAAUGCUGCUCUAAAAUGGGAGGUAUAUGUCUUCUAAAGCUAAAUACCGGCCAGAGACCGAUAGCGCACAAGUAGAGUGAUCGAAAGAUGAAAAGCACUUUGAAAAGAGAGUUAAAAAGUACGUGAAAUUGUUGAAAGGGAAGCGUUUAUGACCAGACUUGGGCUUGGUUAAUCAUCUGGGGUUCUCCCCAGUGCACUUUUCCAGUCCAGGCCAGCAUCAGUUUUCGCCGGGGGAUAAAGGCUUCGGGAAUGUGGCUCCCUCCGGGGAGUGUUAUAGCCCGUUGCGUAAUACCCUGGCGGGGACUGAGGUUCGCGCUUCUGCAAGGGAUGCUCGCGUAAUUCUACAAC